AAGGAGACACAAAAAAAAGAAACAUAAACAGUAAUACUCCCAAUCAAAAGAAUAGACGCCGUCAGUCACCACAGCACCAGACGCACGCACACUGUCGCGUAGCUAAAGUUGAGACAUCGCUUGCGCCUUUCUCAGGAGCCGUCACCCGCCACCACCACUAGUACUCUGUUAUUUUUUGGGUACGAAGAGAAAUGCAGAAUCUUGCUCUACCAUAAACGCGCGAGAUAAGGUCUCACCUGAUCGGUUGCCGGUGAAACCCGACAUCUCUUUUUUUUCUUCACGACUUAGGGUUUUGCUGAUCAAUGGCAUCGGAGGAUGUGAAGACGAGCGAAUCGGCUGUUACGACGAUCGUCAAUCUAGCGGAGGAGGCUAAGUUGGCUAGAGAGGGAGUCAAGGCCCCGAGCUAUGCUGUUCUUAGCAUCUGCAAGUCUCUUGUCGCUGGUGGUGUCGCCGGUGGAGUGUCACGUACAGCUGUUGCUCCAUUGGAAAGGUUGAAGAUAUUGCUCCAGGUUCAAAAUCCCCACAACAUAAAAUACAAUGGAACAAUUCAAGGGUUAAAAUACAUAUGGAGAACUGAGGGUUUUCGUGGACUGUUUAAAGGCAAUGGUACCAACUGUGCUCGUAUUGUCCCAAACUCAGCAGUGAAAUUCUUCAGCUAUGAGGAGGCUUCUAAGUAUAUUUACUUGAAAAUUUCUAGUUUUAUUGGUUGGACUGGAAUUCAGUGUCUAAAUUGUUAUAUUAGAUAGUUUUUGUUUAAUGCAGAAUGUAUUUGGUUAUAUAGUAUAUGGAUGGAAGUACUAACUGCUGCUUAUCUUUAACAUACUGAAUUUGCUUAGAUCCAUCAAUCUUAAAGAGAAAUAUUAUGGUCUUUUGAACCAACAAUGCCAUUGUGGAAAUGUUUAUAGCCAAUAGUAAUAUGGAACAAAAUAAAUCAUUCAGUAUUGAUAGCUUAAUUAGUGCAAGCAUGUACAAGCAUUCUACAUCUGUUUUGUAAUUUUAUGUCAGUGGAAAAAGGUGAUGUUUCUAUUUGUAUAAAAUUAUUAACUUGCGAAAGGGGCUCCUUGCUUGUUUCUUUGGUCCUACCACCAUAUAUGUUAUCGAGGCAUUAAUUCACUUUUCUUUUCCCAAUCAUUUGAAAUUACAUCUGUACAUGGUUCAAGGGUUUUCUCUGGUCCAUCCAAGUGAUAUCUUUAUCUUUCAGCUGAUUUUUCCUCUAUAUCUGUGUGGCAGGGGAAUAUUGUGGCUGUAUCAACAGAAAACUGGCAAUGGUAUGUCUUCAAUUUUUUGAAUUAUUAUUUUACACUCUCUUUGCAGUCAUAAAGAUAUUGUGUGCACUUCAAUGUUUGGCUAGAUAAUAUUUGUUCAGUUUGAGUUGGUUCUUUACCUGCUUGUUAGCAACGGAUGGCACUUGAUAGAGCCUAUGUGAGUUAUCUUAUUCCUUAUAUCCCCCUUCCCUCCUCUGGUUGUUUCCUGCAGAAGAUGCGCAGCUCACUCCUCUUCUACGCCUUGGAGCCGGAGCAUGUGCAGGAAUAAUUGCCAUGUCUGCAACUUAUCCCAUGGAUAUGGUGCGAGGCAGGCUAACUGUACAGACUGAUAAAUCACCUUAUCAAUAUAGAGGAAUGUUCCAUGCUUUAUCAACUGUGCUUCGGGAAGAAGGUCCACGGGCUCUGUACAAGGGUUGGCUUCCCUCUGUCAUUGGAGUUAUCCCAUAUGUAGGUCUUAACUUUGCUGUGUAUGAAUCACUAAAGGAUUGGUUAGUUAAAGCUAAACCAUUUGGACUAGUUCAAGAUUCUGACUUGAGUGUGACUACAAGGCUUGCUUGUGGGGCUGCUGCUGGAACUGUUGGCCAAACUGUCGCUUAUCCUCUUGAUGUUAUUCGCCGGCGAAUGCAGAUGGUUGGAUGGAAAGAUGCUGCUUCUAUUGUCACUGGUGAUGGGAGGAGCAAGGCCCCCCUUGAAUAUACUGGCAUGAUUGAUGCAUUCAGGAAAACUGUUCGGUAUGAGGGCUUUGGAGCAUUAUACAAGGGUUUGGUACCUAAUUCUGUAAAGGUAGUCCCAUCUAUAGCAAUUGCAUUUGUGACAUACGAGGUGGUGAAGGACAUUCUAGGAGUUGAGAUUAGAAUAUCAGACUGAAGCGUGGGCUCCUCCCUAAUGAUCGUUGAACAAGUGUGCUAUUUUUGUAGGCAAGGGAAUGGGUAGAAGGUAAAUUAGGGUAAUUUUCUUCCACAUUUCUCUAUGUGAGUGAGUUUAAAGAUGCAUUUAAGGCUGUCAUAAAUUGUUUUCCCUUCUCUGUUUCCUUGAGAACAUGCUGUAGUUGUCAGCUUCUCAUUUAUAUUGUCAAUAAGUAUGUUGAGGGGACAACUCACGAAAUUCAAUUGGAUGCCUCUCCAUGAGAAUUGAGAUUUUCUGAGCAUAGAUCGGUCUUCCUAUCCUUUUCUCUCAG
rnacentral:misc_RNA from 1 species